CGCGGGGCCCUUUGGAAAUAGAAUAGCCAAUGUAAUCUGACACUUCAACUUGCUCGGCUCCGGGCGAGUUGAUUCACUUACUCACCCCCUAACGCCGAGUUCCUUUUCACUGUCUGUGGACAUUAAAAAAGCGAGCGGCGGCGGCGGGCGCCCGGGAAAGCGAACCGCCGAGCAGGCGAGCAGCGAUCGGGCAGCCAAGCGAGCGAGCAGCGCGGGUGCAGCGCGGUGACCCCAGCCCCGGCUAGCGCGGAGCAGGAGCCGGAGCCGGGCCGAUCUCCGCGCCCUCGCUGCGCUCCUCCCGGCCCCAGCCGGCCCUACCAGUGGUGGCGGCGGCGCGUCCUCCAGCGGCGGCAGUGCUGCUCACAGCGCCCGGACUUUGCAGCAACUGUGCUUGGAUAUAGUGGGCCUGGAGCUGCCCCCUCCCUCUCCUGAUACCCAGCAAUCUCAAGUCCUUAUCAGUUGCCAGAAGCCUCUGCAGGGGCAGCAUGAGAAGUGCUCAGCGAAGGUCCAGGGCCAGCAAAGAAGAGAGGUGGCAACAGGAGAGAGAAAGAGACAGACAGAAAGGCGAGAACAGCUGCUGCCAGCCCCUCAGCUGCUGCCAGCCCCUAGCCCUGCUCCAGCCCACUUCCUGCCCCAGAGGUCGGUUCCCAGCUCCCAGGGACACAUGCCAGGCCUGAAAUAGACCCACAGGGGCCUUGGUGGUGCAUUUUUCACGGCCCCUCCCCCACUGGAGGGGGGACCAAGGCACCUCCCUCCCAAGACCCUCCCUCCCCUGAAGCCAGGACCCUCCC
rnacentral:lncRNA from 1 species